UAUUAUAGCAAAGAGGAUACACCUGUUCCCAUACCGAACACAGAAGUUAAGCUCUUUAGCGGCAAUGGUACUUGGUGGGCAACCGCCUGGGAGAGUAG
rnacentral:rRNA from 1 species